rnacentral:rRNA from 1 species
GACGAACGCUGACAGAAUGCUUAACACAUGCAAGUCAACUGUGGCGGACGGGUGAGUAACGCGUAAAGAACGUGCCUCACAGUUAGGGACAACAUUAGGAAACGAAUGCUAAUACCUGAUACUGUGAGAGAGCUUUGCGUCCCAUUAGCUAGUUGGAGAGGUAACGGAUCACCAAGGCGAUGAUGGGUAGCCGGCCUGAGAGGGUGAUCGGCCACAAGGGGACUGAGACACGGCCCUUACUCCUACGGGAGGCAGCAGUGGGGAAUAUUGGACAAUGGACCAAAGUCUGAUCCAGCAAUUCUGUGUGCACGAUGAAGUUUUCGGAAUGUAAAGUGCUUUCAGUUGGGAAGCGGUACCAACAGAAGAAGUGACGGCUAAAUACGUGCCAGCAGCCGCGGUAAUUC